rnacentral:sRNA from 1 species
UUGCGCCUGCGAAGGACAUAGCGGGCCCUCAUCAUAGUCUUGCAGGCGACUGGGCACCGUACGGUCUCGUGAUCCACAAAUUGUGGAUUCAAACCA